AGCUCCAAUAGCGUAUAUUAAAAUUGUUGCGGCUUAAAAACUCGUAGUUGGAUUUCUGCCGCGGACGACCGGUCCGCCCUCUGGGUGAGUAUCUGGCUUGGCCUGGGCAUCUUCUUGGAGAAGGUAGCUGCACUUGGCUGUGUGGUGCGGUAUCCAAGACUUUUGCGUUGAGGAAAUUACAAUGUUUCAAACAGGCAUGCGCCUUGAAUACAUUAGCAUGGAAUAAUAAGAUAGGACCUCGAUUCUAUUUUGUUGGUUUCUAGAACUGAGGUAAUGAUUAAUAGGGAUAGUUGGGGGCAUUCGUAUUUAGCUGUCAGAGGUGAAGUUCUUGGAUUUGUUAAAGACGGACUACUGCGAAAGCAUUUGCCAAGGAUGUCUUCG
rnacentral:rRNA from 1 species